AAAAUUUUAGUUUAAAUCUAAAACUUUUCUUUUACACUGGAAUAAUUAAAUUAAUUUUUAAAAUUUUA
rnacentral:tRNA from 1 species